rnacentral:lncRNA from 1 species
AGGGAGGUGCCUCAGGCUCUUUUUAACAAUCACUUCUCAUGGGAGCUAAUACAGCAAGAACUCGUUAUCUUGAGAACUCAUGACCUAAACACCUCCCAUUAGGUCCCACCUCCACAACUGGGGAUCGAAUUUCAACAUGAGAUUUGGAGGGAACAAAUAUCUAAACUAUAUCAGGCUGGAAAUCAAUUAGUAAAGAAUUUUUAAAGGCAUUCAUCCAUCCAACAGAAAUUCAUUAGCCUCUUAGGGGCCUGGUACUGCUCUAGAUACAGAGAAUACAGCAGUAAAGAAGACACUUGAAGGGAUAAACAAGAAAAAUGCCAGGUGGAGAUUUACAACAGAGGGACAUGACAGACUGGUGGGCACUGUCAGCAAAGGUACCAGCCAGUGCAGGCCCUAAGAUGGAAAUAGGUUGAUAAUAUACAAAGAAUAGAAGGAAGAGCAGUGUAUUAGAGUGUAGAGGUAGUUCCUGAGAACAUUAUGAGAUUAUGUCAAAAAGAUUUCAGGGUAAAGAAUUUGAACUGCAUCUCAAGUGUGUUUGUAGUUUUGUUGGGAAGUGAUAGUUUUAAGCAAGGGUUUGACAUGAUCUGAUUUACUCGAAAGGGUGUCUUGUCUGUUUCCUUGAAAAUGACUACAGAGAAAUGUAGGUGGAGGCAGGGGCCCAUUGGAAAGCAUUUCAAUAGUCCAGAUAGGAGCUGGCAGUGGUCUGCACUAGGGUGAUUGUGGUGGAAAUGAAGGGGAGAGGAAAGACUGGAAAUGUGUUUUGGAAGAAGUAGAAUUGAUAGGAUUUGCUGAUGGCUUGGAUGGAGGAAAGAGGAAUAUAUUAUAUUUAAAUCUUUAAGCCACAUACAUUGAUUUGAUCAAAAUUAACAGGACAAAUACAAAUCAUCAUUUUCAGUUCAGUUUCAUUUAAUCAUUAUCAGUGGAGCUCCUACUAUGUGUAAGAUAUAAUUUCAGAUUCAUUCAUUUGAUAAACAUUUAUGGAACACUGACUAUACCCCAGGUACUGUGCUGGGUACUAAAAUCUGGAGCAAGAUGGACACAGUCCUUCCCUCAGAGGUCUUGAGGUUGAGUGAGACAGAGAAAUCAUCAAACAGUGAGUGCAUGCAUGCACAUCAUGAGAAGGGCCAAGAGGGAAAAAGACAAAAUGGCUUUUAGAAUAAAAACAGACAGAUCUCAUCUAGCUUGUGUUGGCUGGAAGGCUCCCCUGAGAAGGUGACAUUUGGGCUGUCUGAAGGAUGAUGGCAGUGAGAACAUCAUGUUUAAAAGUCCUGUGGUAGGAAGAAACAUUGUCAUUCAAGGAACAGAAAGAAGGCCAGUGUGCCAGAAGCCUAGAGAACAAGCAAGAGGGGGAUGAUGUGAUGGAGUGGGCAGUCAGUGGCCAGAUCACACAGGGCCACGCUGACCUUUCUAUGGGAUUCUGGUUUUUAUUCUAAGGGCAAGGAGAAGAAGGUGAUGUGAUUAGAUUUUUUAAAUUUUCUUUGGCUGCAGAGUUAAGGACAGAUUUGGUCUUCACAUUUAGGGUCUCUAGGGGAACAAGUGGAUUGGGAAAAUCUGAGUCAGAUGGGCUGCCAAGGGGAGGAAGUGAAGACCAAGGAAAACUGGAGAUCUGUUAGAAGGCAAUGAGAGAGAAUUUCAUGCUCAACAUGCACCAACACAGAUGUCAUGGUUGCCUUUCCAUGUCAACACAUCUAGAAAGACUACACGUUUUUUCUGCAGCUACGUAACAUUCAACUGUAUUGACAGGUUAUACUUUAAUAUUUACCAUCUCUCUAUGGGUGGUCAUUUAAAUUGUUCCAAUUUUUUUACUAUGGCAAACAAAACUUUUUUUGGAACAUACCUCAACAUUUAUCUUAGCUCUUGAGGGACACAUAGAGGUAAAAAUGCCAGGUCAGAGUGCAUGAGCAUUUUAAGUUUUAAUAGAUGAUGACAAAUUGCCCUGAAAAAUGUGAUGCCAAUUUUGAGCAAUAUUUUAAGAAAUAAUGUUGAGCUAAUGUGUCAGAUCUAGUAAGUCCAGAAUCACGGCAGCAAGGAAGGAUCCAGUACAGUGAUCCAGGGGAGAGGUGUUGAGUUCCUGACCUCCCAUGAUGGACUCUUUUGGAGUUUGCUUCCAAGUGGGAAAUCCUCAGAUGGGCAGUGAUUGUCCUUCGGCCAACAAAUCCUCCUGGACAGUAAAUUCCUGAACUUCUGCUGCACAGGCCAUAAGGAGAGGAGUAGAAGUCUUCUGAGAAAGUGGUUGUUAGAAGCCAGAAUCCCAGCUCUAGAAGGGAAACUCCAUGAAUGAUGGCACCAUGAAUGUCUUGUUCAGUAUGGAUUCCUCAGCAUUAAUAGGGAUCAGUAAAUAUUUGUUGAAUGAAUAAAUAAGAGUCCUAUUAAUUGACCUUAUUGUGUCCAACAAAAGUUACAUUUCCCCACUGUAGUGAAUUGUUGGCAGCAUCACUCUUUGCUGUAUACCAUUUAGAAAAUAUAACAUUAGUUGAUUUUCUACUUUUACCCCUCCUUUUAUGUCUCCAAAGAGACAGCAUCUCCUUUACCCAUCUUGGCUAUGAAAUCUACUAUCUUUUGGACUUUGUCAAAUUAGAGACUGAAAAACUCGAGCAGGUCUUUUUCUCUGCACAAUGUAUCAAAACACAUUUCAUAUGCUAUGCAGCACCCCUAACUAAUUUUCACCAAGUGUAUUUUCUCUGGGUCUAGACCUCUUCAUACUUUACCAUCAAAAUGUAUUUAGUCAGCCUUAUGAAGAUGGGCAAAGAUCUUUGAAGCCUUGGAGUAAAGAAUGUUGUGUUUGCUUUCGUGGAGUUGUCCUCAUACUGAGAUAUGGUAGAAGUAGUUUCCUUGAUCAGCCUCGGGAAAAUGGGACAGGUCUGUCUCUGGAGCUCUGUGUGUUUUUUUCCUUUGCAGCAAAAAUACUCAUCUCUCAUUUGAGAGCUGAUCAGUACAUUGGCUGCAGCCAUUCCUCCCAGGUUUUCCAGAUUGAUCAAGCAGUACAUGUUUGAUGAAUUAACCAUGACCAGUCAGCUAUUGGCUCUUUGGGGCAUUUAAAUCUACAAAAUUUAGUAGUUAGCAGGACACAAAUAACAAGAGUCCUGAGAUUUGUGGUUUGUCCAUCUCCCACUUCUGGGGCCUCUUAUUCUUAAUCUGUAAAGCAAGGAUUUGAAUGUUCACCCUCACCUAACUCCUGGAUUCAUGAGUUUUCAGCCUCCACUUCUCCCUGCCCACGCUGAUAUGGAGAAGGCUGAAGAAAGAAGAAGGGAAGGAAAAGAGCAAAUCCUUUGUUGAUCUGAGAAGUCAUCAUAAAAGUCCUGUACUUGUAGAAGAACUGCAUACAACUUUUCCAAAUAAAGUAAAUCUAGCUUUUAUGUUUUAUUUAUUAGGACAACACAGAUUCCCAUCUCAGUUUCAACAGUCUGCCAAAUGUCAUUUUUUUCCCUAAAAUCAAAGUUCAUCAUUGCUUGAACAUUGGAGGGCUCUAAAGGUCUUGAUUUUAUUGUACUUAAAAAAUUUUAAGCAAAUCUGUGCUAACAACAUGUUGACAUAUUAAAAAGCUAUAGUUAUUAAAACAGUGUGGUAUUGGAGUAGGAUCAGAUAUGUAGAUUAAUCAAACAGCAGAGAGAGCUUGUAAACAGAGCCAGGUAUAUGUGAAAAAUUUAGCUUGUGUCAGAGACAACAUUGCAAACCAAUGAAGAAAGGGUAGAGAAUGGCUGUAUACCAGAGAAAAAAUAAAAUGAGAUUUCUAUCUUAUAUCAUAUACAAACAUAGACUCCAGAUAGAGUAAAGGUCCAAAAUGUAAAUAAUGUAAUUUUAUACCUGUGAGAAAAAAAUGCAUAAGUAUCCUUGGGGUAGGGAAAGCUUUCUUUAACAAGAUACAAAAUACACAUACCGUGGAGGAAAAGGUACUGAAAUCUGACAGUAGCAAAAUUUCACCCCUUUUAUGGCAAACAAAACCAAACAAAUCCUCGACCCCAUUACAAACAAGGUUAAGACAAUUGAGUAAGACAUAUGAUGCUUUUUUGCUUUAAUAAAUAAAUGGUGAGAAAACAAAAGGGAUGAGUGUUGUUAGGGACAAAAAGAGACUUAAGAGGCACAGUGACCAAAUAAAACACAGGGACAUCCUUUGGAUUCUAAUUCAGAGAAACCCAGUGUGAAAGAAUGUUUGUGGGUCAGCUGGGGAAAUUUGAAUACUGACUGGUUAUUAAGAAAUUGUAAGAAAUAGUUAACGUUCAAGGCAUAAUAAUGAUAUUGUGAUAAUUUUUAAAGAUUUGUGUUUUUUAGAGGAACUACUGAAGUAUUCAUGAUUAAAAUUUUACAGUGCCUGG